rnacentral:rRNA from 1 species
UACGUAGGGUGCAAGCGUUAAUCGGAAUUACUGGGCGUAAAGCGUGCGCAGGCGGUUAUACAAGACAGAGGUGAAAUCCCCGGGCUUAACCUGGGCACUGCCUUUGUGACUGUAUGGCUAGAAUCUGGCAGAGGGGGGUAGAAUUCCACGUGUAGCAGUGAAAUGCGUAGAGAUGUGGAGGAACACCGAUGGCGAAGGCAGCCCCCUGGGUCAAGAUUGACGCUCAUGCACGAAAGCGUGGGGAGCAAACAGG